rnacentral:tRNA from 1 species
GGGGCUGUAGUUCAAUGGCAGAACUUCUGCUUCCCAAGCAGACAGCGCGGGUUCGAUUCCCGUCGGCCCCUCCA